AUACCACCCCUAUAAUUUCGUAUUUUUUUAAUUUUACUACUUUACUGUUUAAAGUGUAUCAAUUUAGUACCCUGUUAUUUUAUUUUUCUCUUUUUAUUAUUUCCUCCACUAUUUUUUUUCGUUAAAUCAAUGACAAAGUUAAAAUUAAAAGAUACAAAAGUGAAUAUUUGAUAAACUUAGGUAGAAUAUCUGAAGUUUUUUGUAUAUAAUUUAAGAAAUGUUAAUGGAGGAGCUGAAAAAAAAAAAAAUCAUAGGGUACUAAAUUGAUACACCUUAAAUAACAAGGUAUUAAAGUGAGAAAGUGCCAAAUCGUAGCGGAAGAGCUGACAAAGAGAGAAAAAUAAAACUAUAGGGUACCAAAUUGAUAUACUUUAAACCACAUGGUAUUAAAGUGAGAAACUGCAAAACCACAGAGGCGGCAUU
rnacentral:lncRNA from 1 species